AUAACAAUACUCUUUCCAGGCCCUGUAAUUGGAAUGAGUCCACUUUAAAUCUUUUAACGAGGAUCUAUUGGAGGGCAAGUCUGGUACUGAGCGACUGACCCGCGCGUGCUGCAGCUGAAA